ACGACAAAACCAAACCGAUACCCAAAUUUUUGUUCUCCUUCCCCAAACCCUAAACCUCUUCUUACACACCGCCUCUUUGUUCUCUAUUUCUCUCCCUCAUCUCUCUUCUCUACCCUUUCAACCUCUGAUUUGUUUUUCAAUCAAACCCGUUAAAACCCUAAACAUCAGAGUCAAUCACGUAGCCACUGAAUCAUCAUCACCAACAUUGAUUGUUUGUGCUAAUUUUUCUAUUAUAUACUAUCCUUUGUGAUGAAGCAGAGGGUAAAAGUGAAUGUUGCCCCAAAAUCUCCCGGUUCAAUUUCUCAAGAACUCCUUGGUAAGAUCUCCUUGAAUCCUCAAUCUUCCUUAUCUUCUUCCUUUUUUGUUGCUGUUGUCCUAAUCUAUUUGCUUAUAAUUAAUUUGUGGUUUUUGUUUCCAUAGUUUUUGAACAUUCUUGAAUUAGGACGAAAUCAAGAUGACUUUGAGGCUGAAGGAUUGAUUUGGGGUUUUUAUUAGUUUUGGGAUUUUGGGGUUCUUAAUUAGGGUUUGCUGCAAUUAUAGAUUUCAAUUGCUAAUAUGUUUCCUCUUUGUUCUUUUUUGUUUUUCCCAGGGAAACACCAUAGAAGAUCAAAUUCUACCUAUGCUUUGUCUCUUUGUGUUUUGAGGUACAGAGCUACAGCCAUGCUUAGCAUGCCAUCAACCUCAUUGAAAUUUAUGUUGCAUAAAGGAUAUAAGAAAGUUGUGUUGUUUUCACCUUGCAAUGGCAAACACAAGAUUUAGCAAAAUAAGUACAGCCUCCAAAGUUUUAUUCAGCAUAAAUAUAAUCAGGAUGAGAUUUUGAUUGGUUUCUCAUGUCAGGUGGUUUCUUUUACCCAAAUUUGUGUUGUGGACUUUUAUUAUUGCCCAUAAUCCAUCCUAUGAUCCUUGCUUGACACUUGAGGUUAGAAGAAAAGGAGAGAGCCCCCCUUUUUAAAAAUUUUUAUUUAUUCCGUAGCUAUUUUCAACCAAACAAGACUUGGUUUUUGGGCAUUAAUUGUAAGGCCAUGAAAGUUCUUAAAUUGAAGGAUUUACAUUGGCAACCUCUUAUUCUUAACUU